rnacentral:rRNA from 1 species
AAUGAACGCUGGCGGCAGGCCUAACACAUGCAAGUCGAACGGGAUCUUCGGAUCUAGUGGCGGACGGGUGAGUAACGCGUGGGAACGUGCCCUUUGCUUCGGAAUAGCCCCGGGAAACUGGGAGUAAUACCGGAUGUGCCCUUUGGGGGAAAGAUUUAUCGGCAAAGGAUCGGCCCGCGUUGGAUUAGGUAGUUGGUGGGGUAAUGGCCUACCAAGCCGACGAUCCAUAGCUGGUUUGAGAGGAUGAUCAGCCACACUGGGACUGAGACACGGCCCAGACUCCUACGGGAGGCAGCAGUGGGGAAUCUUAGACAAUGGGGGAAACCCUGAUCUAGCCAUGCCGCGUGAUCGAUGAAGGCCUUAGGGUUGUAAAGAUCUUUCAGAUGGGAAGAUAAUGACGGUACCAUCGGAAGAAGCCCCGGCUAACUCCGUG